rnacentral:rRNA from 1 species
AACGAACGCUGGCGGCGCGUCUUAAGCAUGCAAGUCGAGCGGUAUGGAGAAGCUUGCUUCUCCAGAGAGCGGCGGACUGGUGAGUAACACGUGGGUGACCUACCCUUAGGAUGGGGAUAGCCACUAGAAAUAGUGGGUAAUACCGAAUGUGGUUGCGAGACUGUGGUCUUGCAAAGAAAGGAGCUACGGCUCCGCCUGAGGAUGGGCCCGCGUCCCAUUAGCUAGUUGGUGAGGUAACGGCCCACCAAGGCGAUGAUGGGUAGCCGGCCUGAGAGGGUGAACGGCCACACUGGGACUGAGAUACGGCCCAGACUCCUACGGGAGGCAGCAGCUAAGAAUAUUCCGCAAUGGACGAAAGUCUGACGGAGCGACGCCGCGUGGAUGAAGAAGGCCGAAAGGUUGUAAAAUCCUUUUGUCGAUGAAGAAUAAGCAUGGGAGGGAAUGCCCGUGUGAUGACGUUAGUCGGCGAAUAAGCCCCGGCUAAUUACGUGCCAGC